GUACUAAGGUAGCAUAAUCAAUUGUCUUUUAAUUGAAGAAUGGAAUGAAAGAAUUAAUGAAAUAUAUACUGUCUCAAUUAUAAAAAUUAAUUUAAAUUUUUAGUUAAAAUGCUAAAUUUAAAUUAUGGGACGAUAAGACCCUAUAGAAUUUUAUAUUAAAUUAUUUAUAAUAAUUAAUUAUUAAAUUAUUAUAAAUAAUUUAAUAUUUAAUUGGGAGGAUUUAUAAAUUUAAUAAACUUUAUAUUAAUAAUUAAACUUUGAUUUAAGAAAAUUUAAUUUGAUAUAGUAGUAUUAAUUAGGAAAAAAAAUUACCUUAGGGAUAACAGCGUAAUAUCUUUUUAAAGUACAAAUUAAUAA
rnacentral:rRNA from 1 species